rnacentral:rRNA from 1 species
CUAUGCGCCUUGCCAGCCCGCUCAGGUGUGCCAGCCGCCGCGGUAAUACGGAGGAUGCGAGCGUUAUCCGGAUUUAUUGGGUUUAAAGGGUGCGUAGGCGGCCUAUUAAGUCAGGGGUGAAAUACGGUGGCUCAACCAUCGCAGUGCCUUUGAUACUGAUGGGCUUGAAUCCAUUUGAAGUGGGCGGAAUAAGACAAGUAGCGGUGAAAUGCAUAGAUAUGUCUUAGAACUCCGAUUGCGAAGGCAGCUCACUAAGCUGGUAUUGACGCUGAUGCACGAAAGCGUGGGGAUCGAACAGG